GUGCCAGCAGCCGCGGUAAUACGUAGGUGGCAAGCGUUGUCCGGAAUUAUUGGGCGUAAAGCGCGCGCAGGCGGUCCUUUAAGUCUGAUGUGAAAGCCCACGGCUCAACCGUGGAGGGUCAUUGGAAACUGGGGGACUUGAGUUGAGUGCAGAAGAGGAAAGCGGAAUUCCACGUGUAGCGGUGAAAUGCGUAGAGAUGUGGAGGAACACCAGUGGCGAAGGCGGCUUUCUGGUCUGUAACUGACGCUGAGGCGCGAAAGCGUGGGGGAGCAAACAGGAUUAGAUACCCUGGUAGUCC
rnacentral:rRNA from 1 species